rnacentral:lncRNA from 1 species
UUUGUCCGGUUGCUGCUUUGUGCUUCGGAUGCUGUUUUGUGUUUAAGGGUUUUGAAUUGGUUGUAUUGGUUAUUGCUGUUUGUGGCUUUGAUAAUUGUUUAGGUUCAAAGUAAAUUGCCCUCUGGUUAUUGCUGUUUGCUGUUUGUGGCUUUGAUAACUGUUUUGGCUGAAAGAUGGUGUCUCAGGUUUAUGUUGUGAUGGUUUUACGG